GUAACGGAUCACCUGGCACCUCCGUUGAUGGAUGCUCCUAGCGCUUCCUGAGGGCUCCAAGCACUCCAGCCGACACCAUAACCACCAUAGACUCCUUCUGAGAGCAAGACAUGAAAAAGCUCUUACAAGAGCUUAGCAGUGAUUUUGCAAGGGAGUAUGACAAUCAUAGCAAUCCCUUGUAGCAAAUUUCCCCAAUAAGAGACAGGACUCAGAUUGAGGGUGAAGUAGAACUGAAGCUUUUAAUCACUCUGCUUUUAUGUUCAUUUUACAAACAUAGUACCGCCCAAAGGGUUUUGAAGAACAAACCAAUCAAUACAUUACAACACAGCUAAACACUCCCAUUCAUACCAGCAGAAAUCCUCCCCUGUGCCUGUGAUACAAUUACUGAACACAAUGGGCUAACGUAAUUAUCACAGGCAGGAAAAUACACAGUUUUACACAAUAUUCAUAACUUUACAAGUAUACAUCACAUUCACAUAAACUUACAUUUUCAGAAUCAGCAUACUCCAAAUACAAAGAUACUCAAAAAUAAGACAAUUCCUUCCAUUGGUUUAAAAGUUAGGUCGAAGUCCUUUGUGACCACUGAAGCAUGGCUUUCCAGCCAAAUCCAGUUCUACAAAGUCCUCUAUCCUGGAGAUAAUUGGCUUAACUGGGUAUGGUAAGCCAACUAUCUCCAGGUACAGAAAAAGUCUCUAUUCACAACAACAGCAAAAAUACACAAAAAUACAUAAUUCCUAUCAUACUGAACAGAACCCCAACAUACAACCUGUCCCCAGAUGGUUUGGAUCUGAGUGCUCUAUAUAUUCAAACAGCGCUCAGAUCCCACGAACACAGUCAAAUCGCCAUGGGGGUUAAACCAUAGCAAAGGCUGAUGAGAGACAGAGGAGGGUCAAAACAGCAAGUUCCAACUGGUCUGGCAGUGUCCCUGGGACAACGCCCUGCUGGAGAACAAUAGACAGGAAACGGGGGAGGGGCACACCUUCCCAUGUAUUCAAAGGGACAGAAAAAGUGUUUCAAAAUCCAAUAAGCCCAAAUAAGUUUCUUAAAGGACAAUACAGUUCAGGUGCCAUAGUCACAAGGC